rnacentral:lncRNA from 10 species
CCACCCUCCCCUCCCCUUCUGCCACCAGCACGACCCAGAUCACAUUAGAGUCCCAGAGCACAGGGAACAGUUCUCGUCUAUCCGUCACCAAGGAGGCAGACGGGACAGGGGGAACAACAAGUCAUUUGUACCUGAUGAGGAGGACACUCCUGGGAAACAAACAGAUGAGCCACCCCAUGAAUCUGAGCCAUUCUCCGAGGUAAACAGAACUGCAUGAGAAACCACCAACUAUCUCCAGCAUCGCCCUUCCCUCGCUCCCUGCCCUCUGGCAGCCAGAAUGGUACAGGAUCUAUUUGCCAGAACAAUUUUUUUGAAGACCCAGGCUCUCAUCAUUUCAAGACAAGGGGUCCCUGGAUCAAAAUAGAACCAAAAGUUUCAUUUGGCAUCAAUCAACCUUAUCAGCAGAGUCCAGGGAUUAUCAGCAGAGACCGGGGCUUUUAUCAAGACACAGAGCACAAGUAAAUCCUAUAAUCUAAAUUUGCAACAUUUAUGACCUGGAAAGCAGCCCCAGGUAGGCAAAAACAACUGACCUUUUUCUACUCCUCCAAAACACCUGCUUGGUACUGCCUCGUCUCCCACAACACUUCUCGACAGUGGUGAUCUUGAAAUGUUUAUGCUUAAGUCGUGUCUUCCAAAUUAGCCUCUAAGUUACUUUAGGGCAAGAGCCAUGUCUUCGUGUGUCCUGCCCAGUGUUAGGACUGGAUCCUCAGGAAAUACCUAUUGAAUAAACUUAGAUCUUUUCACAUCCUUUCAAUUCUGUCAACCCACAUAAGGCUGGCUAACAGCAAAGCUGUGGGGGAACUUAGCCUACAUUCUUCAAUCCAGAAUCCCUGAACACAGCUAGCAUGGUUCAAGAUUAAUAAGUACACUGGACAGUUCUUUGGAGCCCCGUGAUAUUAUUGGAAUGCUUUUACUUUGAGAUCUUGACCUCCUAAUGUUAACAGAGCUUAGGUGGUAACCUAAAAUCACUGGAAAGAUAUCACUCUGGAAAAAUGAGUAAAUGACAACAAAUCAACCUUGCAACAUCUCUGGAUAAUUGCUAUCUACUCUGUCUAAUUAUUCCUACAAAAGAAAGAGUCCGGGACAUGUUGCAUAUUUACGACGCCAAAAUAGGAAGUGUGUGAUGCCCACUCGACCGCAAUGAAUUCCAAGGCAUAAAGGCCCCAGAAUCUCUGGAUACAAGAAGUCCUCACUCUGCCAUCCCUUCUUGAGUGGUGUUGGUGGACUUCCUAUGUGAUCCCGAGGUGGAGUCAGCUGGUGUAAGAGUUGGCAACCAGCUCUGCUCCAUAGACGGCAUUCACUUAGGAAGCACGACUGGCGGCUUCAUGCGAUUGGAGAGAAAAGGGGAGAGGGGGAGGUGAAGAGAGGAGGAGGAGCCCUCGGCAGAAUUCCAAGUUCCGUGGCACUGGCCCCACGGAACUCUGGAAACAAGAAUCAGGCUUGGGCUGCGCAGGUUCCAAGUCACAGGGCUUCCAUGGCUGGCAAGCGUCGAGCCGGAAAUUCAGUUGAAUAGAGCCCUAAAUGUUUUUUUGUUUGACAUUCAUGCUUAACAGAAAAUGAUGAAUCCAUUAGCAACUCCUUCCGUUGCCAAAAGAAACAGACUUGCACUUGUAGAUUGCUUUCAUUCUGCGCUAUCAAGCCACUGCAUGUGCUGCUUUCACAAAGCUGACAGUCAUCUAUCAUUUUUAAAUGGGUUUAGAGGUACAGUCGUCUUUGUCUGAAGUGUGUGGAUGUGUCAGCGUGAAUGUGACUCAUUAAAACAGACUGACCCAAACAGUUUAAAUGGGAUUCACAGUAGGGGGAAAAUGUUUUAUUUGAGGUUUGUUUGGAAUUAUUUUGAAGUUUGUCACUAAUUUUGAAAAACAAUGGGCUCAUUUUCCUAACUUCUUUUUCUUCCCUGAGAUGUGUCUAAGAGAACAAAUAGCUAUAUUAUGCACUGUCUCAAAAACAUGCUCUUUGGAAAUGAAAAAAGAUUCUAUGAUUAUGAAAUGUCAAGAGUUCCCUUGUGCUCUAGAACAUUUCACAUACUUAAAUGACUUCAUGAAACUCCCCCAAGUUUCUCUCUCUCUCCUCAGACCUUUAUCCCCAAUCCAUAAAUGACAUCUUUGAACAUAAUCUUUAGACCCGUUUUUCAUCAUUUCUAUUAGCCUUUCAAGGAAUGCCUUUUGAAGUCAAAGAUUUAACAUAUGGAUUAAAUCUUCCAUAAAAUGGGUUUAAAUAUUAAGAGAAAAACACCUGGCUGUAUGUAUCUGGGUUCCACAGGACAUUGUAUUGUUUUAAAUGCUUCAAGAUGUUCAAUAAAACUGAAUAUGGCCAAACUCAUGUCCAAUGUGGGCCUGUGGGCCCUCAAACCUGUUUCCAAAUGGCUGUUUCUCUCUCUCUCAUCUCGCAUUAGUGUGAAGUUCCUAAAGCAAUAAUAGAAGGGCCAAUAGCAGAAAUUAAGAAAUUAAUUAAAUUAUAUUAUAUGUAUAUAUAUAAUUAAGAAAUUAUAUAUAUAUCAAUGACAAAAUUAAUUUAUCAAGAGUUUCAAUAUAACUAGUAUAAUUGAUCUUCCAAGUUUUCUCUAUGGGCACAGAGGGAUAUAUUCAAAAUGUUUAACACCAAUAAGUCAUGGGCACAACCAAGUAGAACAGACAUCAUGGCAGGGUCCUGGAAGCUCCUUGCUGGAUGAAGGAGAUUAAAGGAGCCCCAGCAUUGACAUCAAGGAGGCUGGGACAGUGUGUUGGGGCAGGGGGCACUGAGAGUAGUGGUUAUUUAUUAACUCGUAGAGAUGAAUUUCAAUAUUUUAAUACAGAGCUGUACCAGUGUGUAUUGGCUGAAUUCCAGCCCUACUUUUACUCCUUCGUUGCAUAAAUUCCUAGGAUUUGAGGAAACAAAAGCAGGUAUACCUUCUUAUGUUUGAGCACUGCUCUAUACUUACCCGCUUUUUUUCGUGUACGAACCCAAAUAAACUGAGUGUCUUCUAAGGCAUCAAGCACUAUUCAAGCUGUUCUCAUAGGAAUUUGUUGUUAAAAGUGAGGAAUGAGGAUUAAAACAUUAAAAAGGGUAAAACAGUAAUUAUGGUAUUAUUUAAACAUUUCUAAAAUUUCUUAGUCUUCACCCCAUUUUACACAGAAGACUUCUAAAUUUUUAGCACUACAAGGCACAUUUGUAGAAUAAAAUACGUAGAAUGUGUAUUUAACUUAUGUCAUAUCUUUCCUUUAAGGAGUUAAAAUGAGUUGUCAUAAUGAUUUGACUUAAUUAACCAAUUCAGUCAUUCCUUGCCACCACCACCACUCCCAAAAAAAGGUAAAUAUUAUGAUACCCUUUUGCACUGGAAAUGAAAACAAAUGCAAUUUUUAAGAUCCUAAGCCAAUCAAAGACCAGCUCAAAUCAAGCUCUUGCAUCCAAGACUGCUUUGACUGAGUUGCCAAGUGAUCCCACAAGUAACAUCUAUGUAGGAGGAAGGGGAAAUGCGAGCACUGUAAGACCUCAUCCUUUAAGGAAGUAUAAUUGGAUGUCUCUUGUGUAACUUAGGCCAUUUCAGAGCUUAAGAUAAAUACACAUCAAAUAUAAGGGGGAAAAAGAGGAAUGUAUUGAUUUUAUCCCACUGACAAAAAGAAAAAACAGUUUCUAUUGAAAUACAUACAAAUAUAUUUUAAAACAUUUGAUAAAGAAAACACAAAAAGAAACAGGAUGGACGGAAAGUUAUAUUCCCUCUAAAGUUACUGAGGACCAAAAUGCAGCAGUUUAUUUCCAGUUUUCCCAG